AGGGUCUUUACAUGGUUUCUUUUCUUCUUCUUCUUCUUUUUUUUUUUCCUGUCUGUUCAUGUGUUUCUCAAAGGUUAGGGCUAGAAUUUACUCAGUUAUUUCCUCCCCAUUUGGUCAAAUCAAGUGUCAAUGUCAGCUUAGAUUUAGUGGGUGGGGAAAUUGAUUUUUCCUCUUAGUGGAAGAUAUGCAGAGAAUUUUUGUACAUGGCCAUUUUGAUUUUAUUUUAUAAUUUAGGCUCAAUUACAAAAUAAACAACAGACAUGAAAGAAUAUAAUUUAAAUAAAAACUGCUAAAUUUUCUGCAAAGUAUUAUUAUUUGUGUAGCCAAACAAUUGUUCUUUUCCUCCUUUUCCAGUGUGGUCUUGGCGUAUGUCCUCAUGAGGAAAUUCGGGAUGAUUCUAGCAUCCUGGGUCCAUUGGCAGGGUGUUUGAGAUGCUGGCUAUGCUACUUCCUUUUAGCUCUUUGAAUUCAAUAUCUCAGUGGCAGCGAAUGAAGAAUUUCUGCACAGAGACUGAAGACCAGCUGUUCUCAAUAUUGACUCGGCUCUGCAGAGUGGAAACUGAUUUGAAUAGCAUCAUGAGAGACUUAGAUUACAGAUGAGAGAAUUUUCUGACAGUGAGUGUUGCUAAUGUUGGGAGGUUGUAGAAUCUUUUCCUCUGGACAUUUUAAAUUUUCAUUUUUUAUUUUAAAGAAUAAAAGAAGGAUAACAUAAUAAUAGGGGGGACUUAGCAAAUUACAGACAAAAUGGUAGGAAAUUAUCAAUGGUUAUCGUUUUACAUAUUAUUAUCUACAAAAUAGUUUCUCAGGAAAACAAAUAGACAAAUAAUAGUGAGUUAGAGACAAAAGAGGUAAGAGAUUAUCAAGAGUUGUUGUGCUAUACUUUGGUAUCUUCAAAGUGGCUUCUAAAGAAAAUAAAUAGAGCUAUACAUGAGUGACCUACUGAAAAAUCAUUAACUAUUCUCAAUGGUUGUUGUAGGAAACACAUAAUAAUAAACAUACAUUAUGAAAUAGGAUAGGAACAAUACAAACAACACAGUUAUGGAUAGAUUAGUAGGAAAAUAUCAAUGGCUGCUGUAAUACGUGGUGGUAUCUUCAAAGUGGUUUCUCAGGAAGACAGAGAUAUGCAAGAAGGAUCUAAUAAGUAGUUACAGCCUAAGGGUUGUCAAAAAUAGCAUAUUACCUCCUCACCAGUGACUCCUUUCACUGAGGUAUGAUGGCUGGAAGGAAGGCCAGGAUUGAAAAGAAGGACCGAGAGACUUGCACCUGUGACUAGCAACAGGCUGUUUUCUUGUUCCUCCAUAGUCAUGAUUACCCAGGACUCCUUGAUGGAGAUGACGGUCUGGCCAGAGGGAGAAGGCAGACCAUGCCCCAAGCCCUCUCAUUCCUGUUGGACUAACUGGUAGCAUGGGUCUGAGCUCUGGGGCCUCCACCUCAGAGGGCAGACUGAUCUCCAGUGGUCUCCUUUGCAUCCAGGGCAUGGCCCAUGGGGCCUCUUAGGGCAGUUCCUCUUGAGGUAGCCUGGCUUUUAACAGUGGUAGCAGAUGAAUGCAGUUGUCGAGUUCUUCUUGGAGCCCCGGGAAUCAGACCUGGGAUCUGUUUCUCUUAGUGGUGCAGCAAAAGCAGCUUCUUUUUCUCAGUCUCUUUGUUUUCUUUCCUUGGCCUCCUCCUCAUUAUGGCUAUA
ensembl:lincRNA